CACACACACACACACACACACACACACUGUCAGUUUUUACACACACAUACACACACACACACACACUGUCUGUUUUUCCGUGUGUUUUCUAUGUCACUAUUUAAAAGCACAAGUAAUCUUCUGAAUGGGUUAGGCUUUGGCUAACCCUAGAAUGGCCAGUUUGUAGUUCACUUAAACAUACGGGAUUCUGUGUGUCUAUAUACAGUGAGUGUGUGUGUGUGUGUGUGUGUGUCUAUAUGCAGUGAAUGUUUGUGUGAGUGUGUGUGUGUGUGUGUGUGUGUGUCUAUAUGCAGUGAAUGUUAUAACUUGUCAUGUGAGGUUGGUUUUACAGAAACUCUUUAGGAGUCAUAUUGCUCCAUCAACAUGAAAGUUUUUAUUGUACACUAAUGUGUAGAAGUAUAUAUAUAUGAUAUCAAUAAUGUGUAGAAGUAUAUAUAUAUGAUAUCAAUAAAGCUGAAUCACAGAAGUGUGUCUCAAGAUGAAUAUGUCAUGCAACCUGGGGUUACAAGGGUCCUUGGUUACAGUAACCUGGGGUUACAUGGGUGCUUGGUUACAGUAACCUGGGGUUAUAAGGGUCCUUCGUCAAUUUCUUUGUGGCCGCUAAGGAUUCCUGUUCUAAGGAAGGUGUUCUCCUGUUCUAAAAGAGGGUAUCCCUUCAACAGACCACGCGGAUGUGAUAAGGGCUCGCGAUUCUCGAGAGACUACGUGUUGCCUGCUGUUGGGUCGAAUUUUCCGUUUCAAUAUAUUAAAGAAAAAAACGGUUUUAGUGAGUCUUAUUUUCAUCCUUUUCUCGCUGAUGGCUGGUUCGUCCACAGCAGAGCUGCGCGUGAACCGCGACAGCACGAGACCGCCUUGUCAACUGUGCUGCAGCUGCCUCCAUGUCGCGCGCUGUAGCCAACUUGUCCGGUGUAAUGAUGCAGUCGAGUGAUUCAAUUGAGGAUUACCGGCGUCGUGUCGACGUGUGUGUUGUUGUGUCAUUAAAAAUGAAUGAUUUUAAAAACACGUCUAACCGCACGCAUUAACAGACGAGCAAGACUGGUGGAGGAGUCGCUCCGUUUCUACGACAACCCUGCUGUCAACAAACAACAUGUUACGCCUUCCACGGGCUACGGUAACGACUCUGUGUGUGGUAUCGACUGUUUUAUGAGCAGGAUAAGGACACGGCCACAGUGAGGAGCCAGAGAGCCUGAGCACGAGCUGAAACCAUCACUAUGCCGGGCAAGGGCAGGAAGGCCCGCCCCCACAGCGCCCGCCCCGCCCACAGGAGGCUCUCGGAGAAGCAAGCGGCGAGCCCCAAAUCUGAUGUGGACAUCCUCAGCCCAGCGGCCAUGGAGAACGUGUACUACAUCUCCCACAAUGCCAUGGACUGCCUGGAGUUCCGGGGCUUCGGCUGGCCUGAGGCCCACAGGAAGAAGGGGAAAACAGCCAAACAGCCCAAGAGCAGGAAAUGACUCCACACCUCUGGGGGGAGCUCAUCACUGCAGUGUGCCAACACUCCUGAGGAGGACCAGAACCAGACACGCCAUAGGCUGUAUGUGUGUGUGUUCAGACAAACACCAUGGACUGUGUGUGUGUGUUCAGACAAACACCAUAAGCUGUCUGUGUGUGUGUGUGUGUGUGUGUGUUCAAACAACCGUCUGGAAAUGUGGAAAAUAUGUUUUGAGUCUGCUACUUAAAUCCACUAGCCACACACACACACACACACACACACACACACACACAUCAUCUUCAGGCUUGCUACAAUGAUCAUCAGUUCAUCCUUUGCUAGUGUUUAAUCAGGGUCAGUAGCAGAUUGGCGUUAUAAGGUUGUCAAGCAAAGUGUUAGAGCCAUAAAUAAGAUUUAACAUGUGCAUUAUUUCUGGAUUAAUAUUAUUUUGUAUUACCUUGUUAUUAUAUAGAAAAAUAAUGAUGUCCGUUUAAAUGAAUAUCUCUGUAAAGUAGCGACUCUUAUUUCGACACAUUGUUUGACCAUGUGAAGAAAGCACGCUUCAUUAGAAGGAACAGAGAAGCACGGAGGUUCACAGUUUUUUGACCAUGCUAACUUAAUUGUGAAAUAAGACAGAAAUAAGAAUCUUUUAUUUAUGUAUGGACAGGGAUACCUGAACAUUUAUGAAGAUAAAGAAAUGUAAACGUUUAAGUUUUGCACACGUCCAUUACUUUCCCGAGUGCUUCAGAGGAUGUCACAUAUAUUGGAUCUGCUGCCAUAACAUAAAGAAACAGCUAUUCAAUAAUUAUGAAACUAUUGAAUAAGUAAUUUGUCCACGAAAGAUCUCUCAAAGCGUCAGCAUGCAUCAUAAGGAGCAGUUUGAAUGGAUAUGACAGCAAUGCAAUUGUUAAAUAUACAAGAUAAAUUAGUCUAGCUUCGAGUCUAAAUGGCGGUGCUUCAAUUAAAAUGGGGGUAGGCCUACACAGCCUUCAGAAAACAUUUAGCCUAGCCUACAUCGAGAACAUUUGACCAUACCUGCCAACUCUCCCGUUUUUCCGGGUUUCUCCCGUAUUCUGACCCAUCUCCCGCCCCCCUCCCGUUUUGUCAUUUUCUCCCGUUAAUCCACCGUAUUUUACAAGGUGCAAAUGUAUUUAAUUAAUAAUCAAAUACAAAUGUUUGUCCAAUGUUCUAAAGUUGCUAGAUCAUGUAUGAAACUCAAUCCUAUUUUACACAAUAAAUACACUAUACCAUUUUCAA